rnacentral:rRNA from 1 species
UACGAACUGUGCAAACGUUAUUCGGAAUCACUGGGCUUACAGGGUGCGUAGGCGGCCAGACAAGUAGGGUGUGAAAGCCCCCGGCUUAACCGGGGAAUGGCGCCCUAAACUGUAUGGCUGGAGUGAGAUAGAGGUGAGCGGAACUUAGGGUGGAGCGGUGAAAUGCGUUGAUAUCCUAAGGAACACCGGUGGCGAAAGCGGCUCACUGGAUCUCUUCUGACGCUGAGGCACGAAAGCUAGGGUAGCGAACGGG